rnacentral:rRNA from 1 species
CCUACGGGCGGCAGCAGUGAGGAAUAUUGGUCAAUGGGCGCGAGCCUGAACCAGCCAAGUAGCGUGAAGGAUGACUGCCCUACGGGUUGUAAACUUCUUUUAUAAAGGAAUAAAGUGAGGCACGUGUGCCUUUUUGUAUGUACUUUAUGAAUAAGGAUCGGCUAACUCCGUGCCAGCAGCCGCGGUAAUACGGAGGAUCCGAGCGUUCUCCGGAUUUAUUGGGUUUAAAGGGAGCGUAGCGGGGUUGUUAAGUCAGUUGUGAAUGUUUGCGGCUAAACCGUAAAAUUGCAAUGGGUACUGGAAGCCUUGGGAAAGGUGAGGUAGGCGGAAUUCGUGGUGUAGCGGUGAAAUGCUUAGAUAUCACGAAGAACUCCGAUUGCGAAGGCAGCUUACUAAACUGCCACUGACAUUGAUGCUCGAAAGUGUGGGUAUCAAACAGGAUUAGAUACCCGGGUAGUC